GAUGAACGCUGGCGGCGUGCUUAACACAUGCAAGUCGAACGGAAAGGCCCUGCUUUUGUGUGGUUCUCGAUUGGCGAACGGGUGAGUAACACGUGUGUAACCUGCCCUUGACUUUGGGAUAACUUCAGGAGACUGGGGCGAAUACCGGAUAGGAGCUCCUGCUCCGUGUUGGUGGUUGGAGAGUUGCGGCGGUGGGGGAUGUACUGGCGGCUUAUCAGCUUGUUGGUGGGGUAGUGACUGACGACGGCUUUGACGGGUAGCCUGCCUGAGAGGGUUACCGGCCACAUUGGGCCUGCGAUAGGGACCAGAAUCCUACCGGACGCAGCAGUCGGGAACCUUGCGCAAUGGGCGGAAGCCUGAUGCAGCGACGCCGCGUGCGGGAUGCCCGCUUUCGGGUUGUAAACAGCUUUGGCAUGAGACGAAGAGUGCGUGACGGUACCGGGUCAAAAAGCCACGGCUAACUACGUG
rnacentral:rRNA from 1 species